UACGUAGGGGGCAAGCGUUGUCCGGAUUUACUGGGCGUAAAGGGCGCGUAGGCGGUCAGUGCAAGUCAGUUGUGAAAUCUCCGGGCUUAACUCGGAAAGGUCAACUGAUACUGCUCGACUAGAGUGCGGAAGGGGCAACUGGAAUUCUUGGUGUAGCGGUGAAAUGCGUAGAUAUCUGGAGGAACACCGGUGGCGAAGGCGGCAUCCUGGACCGACACUGACGCUGAGGAGCGAAAGCCAGGGGAGCAAACGGG
rnacentral:rRNA from 1 species